UCUUUUCUCACCAGAGUUUGUUGAACAAUAUGAGCCCUAACCAUGAGUCCAGUUCGGCAGUUCUGAGGAUGAAAAAGAUUCCUGGAGAGAUGUCACCUCUUCACCUUCCCUGUCCCACCACACAGUCUCCAGCUCACAGACUGCUUUGAAAGCCUCAGAAUCAAUCUCAUUUGUUGCUACAACCUUGAUCUCACAGAUUGAAGUCCCUGGGGAGAUUCGAGCAUUGGCGGCCCACUGCAGGAGCGGAGAACCUUCCAGCCACAGACAUGCUUCUGCUUCCAUGACACUCUGUCUCAGCAGGAUCCAGAACUUGUGGAGCCAAGGAACAUGGGUGGGAACUUUGAAACCACGAGGAGUGGAGACCCAAGGCUUCUGCUGUGACCGACACUGAAUGCCGAUAGUCCCACCUCCCAGCAAGUUUCUCUAAGCAGGAAUGCUGGGAUUCUCAAGGUUCCUGCACUACAAGCUGGGAAAUGCUUGCCUCUGAGAGACAUAAAUAACCACAACAGCCAGAAAAUAAAGCAGGCAAUCUCUAGAAGUGCCUGGAUACAUUAGGAUGAAAAACAGCCGAAGCCUCCAACUCCUCAGACUCCAUUGAAUACUGUUUGCAGUCAUCCGGUAAAAUUUUAAUUUAUUUUAUUAUUGCAUUUUUAUGACAAAUUGUAACAUAACUCAUUUAUUUUCUCCAUCAAUCUCCUCUCCUUCAUAAAAAUGGCACACAUGAUGAUGACCUACAUUAAAGUAAUUGUCACCGUGUGUAGUAUUACAGCGAUAAUCUAUAAAUAAUAUAAAAGUUUGUA